rnacentral:rRNA from 1 species
CGCGUAGGCGGUUUGAUAAGUCAGAUGUGAAAGCCCACGGCUUAACUGUGGAAGUGCAUUUGAAACUGUCAGACUUGAGUAUCAGAGGGAAAGUGGAAUUCCCGGUGUAGAGGUGAAAUUCGUAGAUAUCGGGAGGAAUACCGGUGGCGAAGGCGACUUUCUGGCUGAAUACUGACGCUGAGGCGCGAAAGCGUGGGGAGCAAACA